rnacentral:rRNA from 1 species
UACGUAGGGUGCGAGCGUUGUCCGGAAUUACUGGGCGUAAAGAGCUCGUAGGUGGUUUGUCGCGUUGUCCGUGAAAACUCACAACUCAAUUGUGGGCGUGCGGGCGAUACGGGCAGACUGGAGUACUGCAGGGGAGACUGGAAUUCCUGGUGUAGCGGUGAAAUGCGUAGAUAUCGGGAGGAACACCAGAGGCGAAGGCGGGUUACUGGGCUGAUACUGACGCUGAAUCACGAAAGCUAGGGGAGCAAACGGG